rnacentral:tRNA from 1 species
GUGGCUCAGUGGGAGAGCAUAUGUGUUGCGUGCAGAAGGUCACAGGUUCAGUCCCUGGCAUCUCCA